UACUGGCAAAGGUGUUCCGUCGAGGGAAA
rnacentral:sRNA from 1 species